rnacentral:rRNA from 1 species
GCCUACGGGAGGCUGCAGUGGGGAAUCUUAGACAAUGGGGGCAACCCUGAUCUAGCCAUGCCGCGUGAGUGAUGAAGGCCUUAGGGUUGUAAAGCUCUUUCAGCUGGGAAGAUAAUGACGGUACCAGCAGAAGAAGCCCCGGCUAACUCCGUGCCAGCAGCCGCGGUAAUACGGAGGGGGCUAGCGUUGUUCGGAAUUACUGGGCGUAAAGCGCACGUAGGCGGACCGGAAAGUCAGAGGUGAAAUCCCAGGGCUCAACCUUGGAACUGCCUUUGAAACUAUCGGUCUGGAGUUCGAGAGAGGUGAGUGGAAUUCCGAGUGUAGAGGUGAAAUUCGUAGAUAUUCGGAGGAACACCAGUGGCGAAGGCGGCUCACUGGCUCGAUACUGACGCUGAGGUGCGAAAGCGUGGGGAGCAAACAGGAUUAGAUACCCCUGUAGUCACC